rnacentral:lncRNA from 1 species
UUUGUAAUUCAGUCAUUGUCAAUAGGCUUCCCUCGGUUCACCUUUGGAUACCAUUACUGGGAGGUGGACGUGGGGACAAGCAAAUCGUGGGAUCUGGGUGUUUGCAAAGAAUCUAUUAAUCGACAAGAGGAAGUUCUGCUGUCUUCAGAACUUGGCUGUGGACUGUGGUUUUGAGAAAUAAAAAGCUCCUCUGAGCCAGUAAUGUGCCUUUAACU